rnacentral:rRNA from 1 species
UAUGUACGGAAGAGAUAACCGCUGAAAGCAUCUAAGCGGGAAACUCGCCUGAAGAUGAGGAUUCCCUGGAGCCUUGAGCUCCUUGAAGGGUCGUUCGAGACCAGGACGUUGAUAGGCUGGGUGUGGAAGCGCAGUAAUGCGUUAAGCUAACCAGUACUAAUUGCCCGUAAGGCUUGAUCCUAUAACCAGUGUGUUUC